GACGAACGCUGGCGGCGUGCUUAACACAUGCAAGUCGAGCGGUAAGGCUCCUUCGGGAGUACACGAGCGGCGAACGGGUGAGUAACACGUGAGUAAUCUGCCCUUCACUUCGGGAUAACCGCCGGAAACGGUGGCUAAUACCGGAUACGACGCGCUUUCGCAUGAGAUGCGCGUGGAAAGUCUUUUCGGUGAAGGAUGUGCUCGCGGCCUAUCAGCUUGUUGGUGAGGUAACGGCUCACCAAGGCUUCGACGGGUAGCCGGCCUGAGAGGGUGACCGGCCACACUGGGACUGAGACACGGCCCAGACUCCUACGGGAGGCAGCAGUGGGGAAUAUUGGACAAUGGGCGAAAGCCUGAUCCAGCAACGCCGCGUGAGGGAUGACGGCCUUCGGGUUGUAAACCUCUUUCAGUACCGACGAAGCGCCUUUAACGGUGGUGACGGUAGGUACAGAAGAAGGACCGGCCAACUACGUGCCAGCAGCCGCCGCGGUAAAAC
rnacentral:rRNA from 1 species